rnacentral:rRNA from 1 species
UACGAAGGGGGCUAGCGUUGCUCGGAAUCACUGGGCGUAAAGCGCACGUAGGCGGCUUACUAAGUCAGGGGUGAAAUCCUGGAGCUCAACUCCAGAACUGCCUUUGAUACUGGGUAUCUCGAGUAUGGAAGAGGUGAGUGGAAUUCCGAGUGUAGAGGUGAAAUUCGUAGAUAUUCGGAGGAACACCAGUGGCGAAGGCGGCUCACUGGUCCAUUACUGACGCUGAGGUGCGAAAGCGUGGGGAGCAAACAGGG